GAGGAAUCUGCUGUGUUCAUGGUGGUCCCGUGUGGUCCUGGGUGGGGCUGUGUGGCGCCCCGCCCUUGGGAAGGUCUGGAACUGCGCCAGCCGCACCGCACAGGGAGCCCAGGCUCCCGGCCGGCCUCCGGGGGCUGCUGUUCUCUGUGGUUCUGCGAAGUGGGUGCCGCGGUCGUGGUGGCCUUCGGGGCCCUGGGAGCUCCCUCCCCGCAGCUCACGUGUGCUUUCCUCCCCUGUCCCAUCUCAGCAGGGUGCGGCGCAAGGAGUUCCGGCGGCCUUCCAAGACCCCAGGCCAGUGCUCCCUGGCCACCAUGGGCCCCAAGCUCCCCUCCCUGCGCAGGCCUGACGGCCCCAGGACCACGUUCUGUGGAGCCACGCCCAGGCCGCUGCAGCCACCCAUCUCCUGGAGCUCCACUUCGAGCAGCAGCACGGACAGCUCCUCGUGCCGGAAGGUCCCAGACCACCACGAGCAAGACCCAGGACGGCCCACCGCAGAAGGCCGCGCUGAGAAGGAAGGGCUGGCUUCAGGUGCGUGCUCUGUGCUUUGGUCCUGCCGGGAUCUGCCCAAGCCUGAUUUGGAGAGAACUGGAUAUGUAUUGUUUAGAGAGCUAAAUAUUUUAUUUCCUUUUAAAAAAAGAUUAUUUAUUUGAAAGGCAGAGUUACAGAGAGAGAGAGAGAGAGAGAGAGAGGUCUUCAUCUGCUGGCUCACUCCCAAGAUGGCUGCAAUGGCCAGAGCUGGGCUGAUGUUUUCUAAGAUUUAUUUAUUUGAAAGGCAGAACUACAGAAAGAGGGGCACACACACACACACACACACACACACAGGUCUUCCAUCUGCUGGCUCACUCCCCAGGUGACCACAAUGACCAGGACUGGGCCAGGCCGAAGCCAGGAGCCAGGAGCUUAUUCCAUAUCUCCCACGUGGGUGCAGGGGCCCAAGCCCUUGGGCCGUCUUCUGCUGCUUCCCAGGCCACAGCAGAGAGCUGGAUCGGAAGUGGAGCAGCCGGGACUCGAACCAGCGCCCAUAAGGGAUACUGGCACUGCAGACGGCGGCUUAACCUGCUACACCACAGUGCUGGCCCUGUAAAUAUUUUCAAAUCGGCAGGGGAGAGUCCACACACUUCUCUGGAUACAUCGGCGGGGGCCGCACGCUGCGGGCCUGUGUCCACCUGCAGCCUUGCAGCUGUGCGGGCAGAAGUGGGCUUCUGGUGGUCGGCUCGGCGCGCACUGCCUCCGUCUGUGCUCAGGGUCUCUGCUGAGAAUCAGUUGUCCCGAGUACACUGAUGCGAGGACUUCCAGCAGCGACGGCGUUUUAGGAGAGAAGCUCUUGGCCUGUGUGCGCUGGCUGGAGGGUUGGAGGAUGCCCAGAGUGCAGUGGGGACUGCCGCGCCCGGCGCUGGCCGCCCCGAGAGCCAGAGGGGGUCCAUUUGCUGACACACAGCAGCGGGUGCCCCCACCUUGCCCUCCGGUGCGGGCGAGUGAGACUGGGCCACCAGCACUCGGCGAGCAGAGGAGCGCCGUGUGUGUGCAUGUGUGUGCGUGUGUGUGUGUGUGUGUGUGUGUCCAUGUGCACUCCAGUUAUUCUUGAGCAUCCAGGACAGGGAAGUGCAAGGGC
ensembl:lncRNA